rnacentral:tRNA from 1 species
AGAGUAUUUAUCAGAUUUAAAUUCUGGUAAAUUAGAAAGCAACGACUAAUUUUAACUUUUGGGAUAAGUAGUGCCUAUUCACAAGCUGUCAUUUUUUAUAUAAUAACACCCAAGCAAAAAAUUAAGUAGAGUCUCGCAGCUCAGCUGGUUAGAGCGCUACACUGAUAAUGUAGAGGUCGGCAGUUCGAGCCUGCCCGAGACUACUUUUUAUAUCAUUGCUUAUUGUAGUUAUUUAAAGGAAAUUCUAGAGGUUGGGACACCACUCAUAGCGUCUCAUUCUAGGACGGAUUUUAAUGGGGGAUUAGCUCAGCUGGCUAGAGCGCUUGAUUUGCAUUCAAGAGGUCAUCGGUUCGACUCCGAUAUUCUCCACAUUUCUAUAGAGUAAAAUUAAAAUCUCUAAGCGUUUGUUAUCCAACAUUUAUCGCUUAAAAAUUUUGUUUUGCUUGUUUACUAGAAAAAUGUUCAUUGACAUAUUGAAAGAUACAAAAAGUAUCAACCAAUUUUUUUUACAAUAAAAAAGAGAGGUUUAUACGAGCAAAUAAUAAUAAGUAGUAAAUUUUUAAUACAAUUUUUUAGAGAAAGAGUAAUAAAGUUAC